AGAUGAGAGAUAUCAUGAGUUACUUCAAAGAACCCUUUAGCACUAGCACCUCUAGCAUGAACCACACGCUCUGGAAUGCGUUCUCUGUCGAAAUUCGCUAGCUUCUCCACCAAAUGAUAAUCCUCAAGCAGAAUUGGACCUCUGGAGCCAACAGUGAGGGAAUUGUUAUUGUUCCAGACAGGGGCACCAGAGUUUGUGGUGAAGAAAGGAGAAUUGUAGGCGCUCGAUGGACGAUACUUGUAAGGAUCCAUGAUGAUGUUUCGGAGGAAGAGAGACGAGAGGGAUUAAACUCUCGAUAAGGAGAAG
rnacentral:misc_RNA from 1 species